AGGCUUCACUCUGUACACUCGGCGGCGAAGACUACCCUCGAAAGCUACUUCGUAUGCAUAAAUCUCACCUCCUCCACCAUCUAGGGUUCUUUAAAUUAAUUGAUCUAUUUUCUGAUCGACCGAUCUAAGUUAUUCAAGUUCAAUUUGUUCCCCUGCAGCCCUACUUGUUCAUGCAGACACGGAUGCAUGUAGUUGCUACCAGGUCUGCAGCUUUGGCUUCACGAAUUAAACCCAGCGUUAGUCUCCUUAAUUUGAGCAUAGAUAUUGGUCACAGGAAAAAAACAGCACACCCAAUAUUCUUGCAGAUGAAUGAAUGCUAAAGGAUAAUGGAAGGCAGGCAGGUGACAGGGUGUUCGAUAUCCAUGGGUGAAUCACUGAUGACCGGCAGACCGGUGAGGUGACAAAUACCAGUCGCCAGCGCUCCAGCAGCAGCUCAUCCAGACUCAAGACCAAUCCGCAAGCAUCAGGUUAGCCACUUGCUGCAUUUGAUCAUGUUGUUAAAGUUUCAGAUAUUUAUGUGAUGCACUGAUGCGUGAGUAGAUAUGAGAUUCAGAAUGUUCAUAUGAUAGGUAGCACUAUCCUUCUUGACAGUUUAAGGAAUUAUCUUUCUUUCUCUCAGCACUCCUUUUAAUGGUCAUCCUUUUCAAAUUGUUGAUUGUUUCUUUGCGAAAGGUAUUUGUGAUAUGUUCGCUGAAUUUUGAACUUUCAGUGGUUCUACUUUUUUAUUCAUAUACACCAAAUAGGAUUUUUGCUUGCUUGCCUAUGUUUCUGCCACUUAAACAAGACACCAUGCCAUUCGUGAUAAAUUAUAGUUUAUGUGCAUCAAUAGAACACUAGCAACAAUAUAAUUGCUAUUUAGCUUACUGUAGUAUUCUGUAUAAAUCUAAGCUCUGUAGGAUAAAACUGGGCAGGUCAGGUCUAGUAGGUUAAGUCUGACUAACCUUUCCUUUUAUUUUCGAUAUGCACGUUGUGUGUUCCUACUGGUGGUCAUGGGCUGAUGGCAAAUGGGUAUUAUCCUGUUAUUGAGUCUCUUGCUCGAGGUCUUGACAUCAGGCUAAAUCAAAGGCUGUGGCCGAGGAGAAGUUUAAGCUCUGCAUGAAUGCGUACAAUUCACUCUGCAGCGUCCUCAAGUCUGCUUAGUGCUGCCCCCGCUAUUACACACAUGACAAAUGUUGCAACUUGUAUUAUCGGUUUUGCAAACUGCAGGCUGUUGCUUUGUUUCAAUUUUAGUUUGAGAUACACACAUUUUUGCCAAGAGGCAAGUUCCAACAUGGAAGGAUGGAGCCACUGUUCAGUACCCUAGGUAUGGAAUAAGCUCGAGCCAACCAACCACCAUCCGAUUGCCCUUGGUCCGCCGCCACGCCCACAUUCACUGUCAGAGAGUCUACAUAUUGGAGAUCCUGCCAACAAAGCUGCGUGGUCAGUUCACCCAUCCCUGCCCAUUCGGAUCUGUGCUCUGGUUCUCCAUCCUUCCACGUUGGCUCAAGAGGACUCGGUAGCAGCACCGGGAGAGCUUCACCGGCCAUGGAUUGACUAGAACGGAAGAAUGCUAUACCGAUCUGGAUGGAGCUCUGUUUUGGUCACUCACCACUUUCCUCCGAGCAUUCAGUACUCAUGACUGAUGCAAGUGAAGCUCAGCAUUGGCAUGUUGCUUCUUCCCUCGAGCGGAAAUAGCACUUCCAAGUCACUAUAUUAAACUAUGGCGAACGCAGUGUUAUUGUUCAACGAAGCUUAUGUUUUUUUUCAUGGUCAUUGAUGUAAAGAAUAAUUUUAAUAAAUGAGCUGAUGAAUCACGGUUGUUGUUGUAAAAGAAAAAGUAAUGUAAUCCAUGACUGAUGCAUUCGCACGUCCAAAAAACUAAUGGAAUUUGAUGAGUCGUCA